rnacentral:lncRNA from 1 species
AUGUGGGUACAGAUGACCGUUGAAUGCUUUGUGGCGUGUAAAUCACGUCGCAAAUAGCGACGUGACAAGCAUGUGGGUACAGAUGACCGUUGAAUGGUUUGUGGCGUGUAAAUCACGUCGCAAAUAGCGACGUGUUUACCACGUGGGAACCUUUCCUUUACCUUCCCUCUUCUCUCCCUCUUCCCUUCACCGUUUCAUUCUUCUUCUUCUUCGUUUCCUCUUCCCUUCCACCUGCAGACCCAUUUUCCCCUUCAACCCAUUUCUCUCCUUCAAGCUUCAGAUCCAUUGUGAAAUUGGAAAUUUAAAGGUAAAUACUUUUAUUAUUUCAACUUAAACCCAUUUCUGUUUAAUAUAUAUGAAUUUUAUUUUAAUUAUUGUAUUUUUUUUUUAAGAAAUAGCUAAGAGUGAAUUAUUCAUUCAAGAAUUUGGAGCAAACAGAUUCAAAGUCUUCAUCCAGGUAUAUUCAAAAUUGUGAAAUUUAAUUUUUUUUUUAAUUAUUUUCAGAUUAGUUAAAUGUAUUGAGUUUGGACUGGAUUAUGUGUUGUNNNN